UAAUACGGAGGGUGCAAGCGUUAUCCGGAUUUAUUGGGUUUAAAGGGUGCGCAGGCGGUAUCGUAAGUCAGUGGUGAAAACUUGCAGCUUAACUGUAAGACUGCCAUUGAAACUGCAGUACUUGAGUUAUCUUGAGGUAGGCGGAAUGUGUAGUGUAGCGGUGAAAUGCUUAGAUAUUACACAGAACACCGAUUGCGAAGGCAGCUUACUAAGGAUAAACUGACGCUCAGGCACGAAAGCGUGGGGAUCGAACAGGAUUAGAUACCCUGGUAGUCCACGCUGUAAACGAUGAUGACUCGCUGUUGGCGAUACACAGUCAGCGGCUUAGCGAAAGCGUUAAGUCAUCCACCUGGGGAGUACGCUCGCAAGAGUGAAACUCAAAUGAAUUGACGG
rnacentral:rRNA from 1 species